rnacentral:tRNA from 2 species
GGGCUCUUAGCUCAGCUGGUUUAGAGCAUCUGCCUUACAAGCAGAGGGUCGGCGGUUCGAAUCCGUCAGGGCCCA